rnacentral:rRNA from 1 species
GUAGGGAAUAUUGGUCAAUGGGCGAAAGCCUGAACCAGCAACGCCGCGUGCACGAUGAAGGCCUUCGGGUCGUAAAGUGCUUUUCGGGGAGACGAGGAAGGACGGUAUCCCCGGAAUAAGGAUCGGCUAACUACGUGCCAGCAGCCGCGGUAAAACGUAGGAUCCGAGCGUUAUCCGAAUUCACUGGGCGUAAAGCGCGUGUAGGCGGUUCGGUAAGUUGGAUGUGAAAUCUCCUGGCUCAACUGGGAGGGGACGUUCAAUACUGUCGGACUAGAGGACGGCAGAGGAAGGUGGAAUUCCCGGUGUAGUGGUGAAAUGCGUAGAUAUCGGGAGGAACACCAGUGGCGAAGGCGGCCUUCUGGGCCGUUUCUGACGCUCAGACGCGAAAGCUAGGGGAGCAAACGGGAUUAGAAACCCCAGUAGUCC